rnacentral:rRNA from 1 species
GAUGAACGCUGGCGGCGUGCCUAAUACAUGCAAGUCGAGCGAACGGACGAGAAGCUUGCUUCUCUGAUGUUAGCGGCGGACGGGUGAGUAACACGUGGAUAACCUACCUAUAAGACUGGGAUAACUUCGGGAAACCGGAGCUAAUACCGGAUGAUAUUUUGAACCGCAUGGUUCAAAAGUGAAAGACGGUCUUGCUGUCACUUAUAGAUGGAUCCGCGCUGCAUUAGCUAGUUGGUAAGGUAACGGCUUACCAAGGCAACGAUGCAUAGCCGACCUGAGAGGGUGAUCGGCCACACUGGAACUGAGACACGGUCCAGACUCCUACGGGAGGCAGCAGUAGGGAAUCUUCCGCAAUGGGAGAAAGCCUGACGGAGCAACGCCGCGUGAGUGACGAAGGUCUUCGGAUCGUAAAACUCUGUUAUUAGGGAAGAACAUAUGUGUAAGUAACUGUGCACAUCUUGACGGUACCUAAUCAGAAAGCCACGGCUAACUACGUG